GCGUGACACGAGCGUGACACGAGCGUGACACGUCUUGAGCCCAACACCAAAGAAACCUCCCAACAAAACAGCUGUGGUGCUCCUGCCGUAAUGUAACAGGUGGAUCGGGGAGUGGUGAGUAUUAGUGUGCCUGAGGACCUGGCGGUGAAGUGACUUCAGGACUCACUCCGCCUCCAGGCCUCAACAGCACCGCCGACACUGUCAGUCUGCCAGAAGCAAGGGCGUCACUGUUGCCUCAGCUUUAUGUACAGUCACGUAGCUCUACCCACCACAGAAGACCCAGAUGGAAUAGUGUCAGCGGGAGUGACACGGACACGAGGAACAGAACAUAAGCACUCAACAAGAACAACAAAUGUUAGGACAGCAGCAGAAGUAGCUGCGUCUCCAUAUGUGGGCAGCCAAGUGUGUGUGCGGGGCCGGGCGCGCGUGAUGGGGAGGGAGGGCGCGCGUCCUCCAGCGCCCAGGUGGCCCGCCCGAGCAACAAGCCAAGAACGUCUGCAAUACACUCCUCGACAAAAAAACAAAACAUAAAUAAACUUACUACGCAUCUU